UAAACCCUAGGAGGAGAAGAAAGAAAAAGAGAGAAAGAAAGAAAAAAGCUUGGUUUUGGUGAUUCAAGCAAGGAACGAUAAGAAUUCUUGUUUUUGGCUUGACUAGUUUUUGAAAAUGAGUUAGUGACUUAGAGAAAUGUCUUGUGGCAGCAAAGAUUGGCUUGAUUGGAGAAAAAUUGGUAACAUGUAAGCUAAUAAACCCAUGGGUACAUGAAGGACUCAA
rnacentral:lncRNA from 1 species